rnacentral:rRNA from 1 species
UUGGUAUUGGUGGUCGAUUCGGUUUGUGUAGGAUAGGUGGGAGACUGUGAAGCUCAGACGCCAGUCUGGGUGGAGUCGUCCUUGAAAUACCACUCUGAUCGUAUUGGCUGUCUAACUUCGGUCCGUGAUCCGGACCAGGGACAGUGCCUGGUGGGUAGUUUAACUGGGGCGGUUGCCUCCUAAAAAGUAACGGAGGCGCUCAAAGGUUCCCUCAGCCUGGUUGGCAAUCAGGUGUCGAGUGCAAGUGCACAAGGGAGCUUGACUGUGAGACUGACAAGUCGAGCAGGGACGAAAGUCGGAACUAGUGAUCCGGCGUCGGCAUGUGGAAGCGGCGUCGCUCAACGGAUAAAAGGUACCCCGGGGAUAACAGGCUGAUCUUGCCCAAGAGUCCAUAUCGACGGCAUGGUUUGGCACCUCGAUGUCGGCUCGUCGCAUCCUGGGGCUGGAGUAGGUCCCAAGGGUUGGGCUGUUCGCCCAUUAAAGCGGUACGCGAGCUGGGUUUAGAACGUCGUGAGACAGUUCGGUCCCUAUCCGCCACGCGCGCAGGAGUCUUGAGGAAACCUGUCCCUAGUACGAGAGGACCGGGAUGGACGAACCUCUGGUGUGCCAGUUGUCCUGCCAAGGGCACGGCUGGUUGGCUACGUUCGGAAGGGAUAACCGCUGAAAGCAUCUAAGCGGGAAGCUCGCUCCAAGAUAAGGACUCCCACAGGGUUAACCUGGUAAGGCCCCCAGCGAGAACACUGGGUUGAUAGGCCGGAGGUGGAAGUACAGCAAUGUAUGGAGCUGACCGGUACUAAUAGGCCGAGGACUUGCCACA